UACGGAAGGGGCAAGCGUUGUUCGGAAUCAUUGGGCGUAAAGGGCGCGUAGGUGGUUCUGUAUGUCUACCGUGAAAGCGUACGGCUCAACUGUAUUUUGUCGGUAGAAACUGCAGGACUUGAGGCUGGGAGGGGCUGGUGGAAUUCCCUGUGUAGCGGUGAAAUGCGUAGAGAUGGGGGGAGAACACUCGUGGCGAAGGCGGCCAGCUAGACCAGUUCUGACACUGAGGCGCGACAGCGUGGGGAGCAAACAGG
rnacentral:rRNA from 1 species